AAAGCUUAGCAACUUAAUAAACCUCAAUACCUAAAAGCCCCCCGAACCCCUAACCACUACUGAAUAACCCCAUAUAUUUAUGGGAGAUAUUAUGCUCGAACUAGUAACAAGAAAAUGAACAUUCUCCCAAAUAUAAGCGUAAGCCAUAAUGGACCAACCACUGGCAAUUAACGUCAUGAAAACACUCCAAUAACACACCUAGAAAAACCUGUAAACUUCAACGUUAACCUUACACCAGAAUAUUAUGGGAAAGAUUAAAAGGGAAAGAAGGAACUCGGCAAAUUUUAGCCCCGCCUGUUUACCAAAAACAUCGCCUCUUGUUAAAACAUAAGAGGUCCAGCCUGCCCAGUGACUUAUUCAACGGCCACGGUACCUUAACCGUGCAAAGGUAGCAUAAUAACUUGUUCUCUAAAUGUGGACUUGUAUCAACGGCACCACGAGGGCUAUACUGUCUCCUCCCCCCAAUCAGUGAAACUAACCUCCCCGUGAAGAGGCGGGAAUUUAAUUAUAAGACGAGAAGACCCCAUGGAGCUUUAAACCCAGCGAGCAUUCACCGAUGUAUACCCCAUUCACAAACCCUGCCCUCUGGUUUUAGGUUGGGGCGACCACGGAGUAAAAACUAACCUCCGCGCCGAAUGGUAAACCCUAAUCAAUGAGCCCCCACUCUAAGAAUCAGUAUACUGACGCCAACUGACCCAAAAAUUGAUCAACGAACCAAGUUACCCUGGGGAUAACAGCGCAAUUCAUCUUAAAAGCCCCUAUUGAAAGAUGAGCUUACGACCUCGAUGUUGGAUCAGGGUAUCCAAGUGGUGCAGCCGCUACUAACGGCUCGUUUGU
rnacentral:rRNA from 1 species